CACAUGCAAGUCGAACGGUAACAGGCCGCUGGGGAUCCCUUCGGGGUGACCUUGGCGCUGACGAGUGGCGGACGGGUGAGUAAUGCGUAGGAAUUUGCCUCAAAGUGGGGGACAGCCCGAAGAAAUUCGGAUUAAUACCGCAUGUGCUCUACGGAGGAAAGCGGGCCUCUACUUGUAAGCUCGCGCUUUGAGAUAAGCCUACGUCGGAUUAGCUUGUUGGUGGGGUAAAGGCCUACCAAGGCGACGAUCCGUAGCUGGUCUGAGAGGAUGAUCAGCCACACUGGGACUGAGACACGGCCCAGACUCCUACGGGAGGCAGCAGUGGGGAAUAUUGGACAAUGGGGGCAACCCUGAUCCAGCAAUGCCGCGUGUGUGAAGAAGGCCUGCGGGUUGUAAAGCACUUUCAGUAGAGAAGAAAAGCCUAGGGUUAAUAACCCUGAGUCUUGACGUAACCUACAGAAGAAGCACCGGCUAACUCCGUG
rnacentral:rRNA from 1 species